rnacentral:rRNA from 1 species
UACAGAGGGUGCGAGCGUUAAUCGGAAUUACUGGGUGUAAAGCGUGCGUAGACGGUUAUUUAAGUCGGGUGUGAAAGCCCCGGGCUCAACCUGGGAAUUGCAUUCGAGACUGAAUAGCUAGGGUACGGUAGAGGGAAGUGGAAUUUCCGGUGUAGCGGUGAAAUGCGUAGAUAUCGGAAGGAACAUCAGUGGCGAAAGCGACUUCCUGGACCAGUACCGACGUUCAGGCACGAAAGCGUGGGGAGCAAACAGG